AUGUCAACAACCAGGAGGUACCUCAGCUCACAUAUGGUGGCUAUGCCCUGAAAUCCAAACAUACUGGAAACUGUGGUGGCAAUAAGUGGUGACUGGAAUAAGCUUACAACAGACCCUAUUGUUUCUCUUGAGCCCUUGUCUGCUGCCCAAAACCCAACAAAAACCUUGAUUCUCCACUUAACCGCAGCUAAUCUACUAAUUCCGGAUAAGUGGAAGGCUGCAAUGCUCCCAUCACCUAGAGAAUGGAUACAGAGGGUGUGAGAGUGGCCUCAUAUGCCACUACAUGGGAACCUUGGGUGACCUUCAUGAGACACAAUUCUACAACACUGUCUACCUAACCACUUGGUUCUUUGGUUAACUCUUUUUACACCCCUCCUCCCCCCUUUCCUUCCUUCUUUAGCCAACAAGAUAACUGUACGGCCCUCGGCGGGAGAAGGGACAGGCUGGUACCGAGCACUCUGACAUGACCUCUAAGUCAGGGAUAAUUUUUAAUUUUGAUUUGUUUCGUUCUUUAUGAAACAUGACUCUCACUGUGUUAUUCCUACAUGUACCAUGGAAUCCUGUUUAUUGUGUGUACUGUUUUUACUUAACCAUUUCUCGGACAUGAGAAGAGUAGAGAUGGGUAGACCACAAAACAGCACAUGACAAAAACAAUCAUGACAAACAAUGUAGAGUCUACCAUGUAACCGACUCAUAAGUGUUGAUACCAGUCUACGCAGGAUUUGAAUGAGGGGUAACGGAGGCUGGAGUCAUAAACAAAUUUUCCAUUCAAGUAGGCACUAUACCUUUAAUAGCCAGCUGUGCCCUACAUUUUCAGCCAAAUGUUUCAUUGUAUAUGUAAUAUGGUGUUUCUGCCACUACUUUGUAACCAAUGUAUACAU